UGGGUACCGGAAGUACUUCCAUAGGUCCUGAUAGUGUAGAAUUCUUAGUGGCCAAGGUUGAGGCCCCCCACAGGGUGUGCAGAGCUUGUAAUGAGUUUAAUUUGAGAGGGAAAAUGAUUUUCAUUAUAGUUAUAAAAAACACAAGGGAGUUCAAAUGGAAUUUCUGUGCCAGUCUACAAAGAUGCACAUUGAGACAGCAAGUCAGAUGUCAUGCUUUUAGGAGACUGUGUCCUCAUGGCAUCCAAUCUGAAUGCGAAGCCAAAAAAAAAAAAUCACAUCAUUCACUCAUUCACUACUC
rnacentral:lncRNA from 1 species